rnacentral:rRNA from 1 species
CAAAAACAUAGCUAAAUGUUUUAAAUAUUUAGUUGUUUCUGCUCAAUGGUUAAACUAAAUAGCCGCAGUACCCUGACUGUGCAAAGGUAGCAUAAUCAUUUGGCUUAUAAUUGAAGUCUGGCAUGAAUGAAUUAACGGGUAAGCACUGUCUUUCAAGGCAACUUAGAAGUUACUUAGUAGGUGAAAAUUCCUACAGGUAAAUAAUAGACGAGAAGACCCUAGAAAUUUUAUAUAAAUUAAUAGGCGUAUUAAUAUUAUUUUGUUGGGGCGACAGAAUAACACAUAACUUAUUUUAUUUAAUUAGAACUAAUUGGUGUGAGAAAUUAAAUUACUCUAGGGAUAACAGCAUAAUUUAUUAAAGUUUGUGACCUCGAUGUUGGACUAGGGAUUGUAACGCCCAGAAGGUGUUAUAAUAGGCUCUGUUCGAGCUUUGACCCCUACGUGAUCU